rnacentral:rRNA from 1 species
CGGAGGGUGCAAGCGUUAAUCGGAAUAACUGGGCGUAAAGGGCAUGUAGGCGGAUAGUCAAGUAAGGUGUGAAAGCCCCGGGCUCAACCUGGGAACUGCACUUUAAACUAACUAUCUAGAGUAUUGCAGAGGGAAAUGGAAUUCCAGGUGUAGCGGUGAAAUGCGUAGAUAUCUGGAAGAACACCAGAGGCGAAGGCGAUUUCCUGGACAGAUACUGACGCUGAGGUGCGAAAGCGUGGGGGAGCAAACAGGAUU